AUUGAACGCUGGCGGCAGGCCUAACACAUGCAAGUCGAGCGAGCGGCGGACGGGUGAUGACUGUAUGGGGACUGCCCGAUAGCGGGGGAUAACUACUGGAAACGGUAGCUAAUACCGCAUCCUAUCGGAUAACCCAUAUGGGAUUAGCUAGUAGGUGAGGUAAUGGCCAACCUAGGCGACGAUCCCUAGCUGGUCUGAGAGGAUGAUCAGCAACACGGGGACUGAGACACGGCCCAGACUACAACGGAGGCAGCAGUGGGGAAUAUUGCACAAUGGGCGAAAGCCUGAUGCAGCCAUGCCGCGUGUAUGAAGAAGGCCCUAGGGUUGUAAAGUACGUUCAGUCGGGAGGCGUUACCGACAGAAGAAGCACCGGCUAACUCCGUGCCAGCAGCCGCGGUAAUUC
rnacentral:rRNA from 1 species